UCUUUUAAAAUUCCUUACUGUUCGGUUUGUUUAAGGUUCAUAGGUAUAGGAUUUGAGCUGGAAUGAGUUCAUGUAUCUAGUAUUCACUUCAGUGCUAAUCUCUUCAAAGUUCAUAGUGACAAUUUCUUUUCCGGAUGUGGUUUUUUCUUUUCUUUUUCCUUUCUUGUCGUUCUGUUAGUUUAAAUUACAUGGGUUUAGAAUUUGGGCUGGAAUAGGGACAAUAUGUUGAUGCAUUCUGCCAACCACAAAUUUGAUAGGCCUGGCGAAGCUGAAGCCUCCAUUCAAAAGAGAUGGAGCAACAACUACAGGGAAUUCUAGCCAGGUCAGUGAUGGUGCGGCUGCAGUGCUUCUCAUGAAGAGAAGUAUAGCUAUGCAGAAGGGACUUCCAAUUCUUGGUGUUUUCAGAUACACACUCUGUAUAACUAAGAAAUAUUGUAAGAUGCUAACUUUGGAGAUAUUGACUUCGUCAACUGCACAUUCACUAUCUUCUACCAUCUUUGUAAGUGUAACUCUUUAGGAUAUUUUGAUUAUCGUCGUGUGGCUUCUUUGAUUUGUAUGUCUUUUUAUUAGGUAGUUUUUUUGUUUUUGCUUCUAAAAACUACAUGUUGAAGAUUCAUUUAGGUAGCUUUCAGCUGUGAUGUGUGUUGCAAAGUUAAAAGUUGUAGUCUUUGCUUACCAUCUCCGACUAAGAUUUGUACGAAAACAGGAGUUUGAUAGCAUGACAGGCACCCAGUUUUUUUCUGGUGGCUUUACAGGUAAUCUGCAAUUAGCUAUGUGAUGCCUUGUUUUGCUGACCCUUUUUCUCUAGUUUUCACCAUUUUUAAAUUCUAAUGUUUGUAAGCUGAUGAAUGAUUGUUAAGUAGGAACAUCAAGUAUGGUGACAACUCUCUAGAAAGAAACAGAAUGAUUUACUAUUGUAGCUGCCUGUUUGAGUCCUUUAAUUUCCUCUCCACCUUGAUCUCACACAACUUGUAUUAUCUGUGCUAUAACUUUGGAUUGGAUUUAAAGGGUUGUUAUUAUGUAAAUAGUA